CAAAACAAAGAAGGCAAGUAAAAACUGACUCUUCUUGGUAAGGCCCUUAUUGCUUCUGUUCCUGCACUUGUGGCCAGAUUCCCUGCAAUCUUAGAAUCGUUCUCUUCCUCCGCCUCCUGCCCCUGCAGAAAAGAAAACAAAACUAGGCAGGAAGACAUGGAGAGGAAGAUUCCUGUGACCUUUGUAGACAGGGCCAGGCUGCUGGGCUGCCAGAGAAAAGUUUAAAUGGAGAGGAAGGAGCAGCAGAGGAUGACAAGGCAGGCACCCCUCCCACUGCAGGAGGCCCAGCCUUGAUGCCAGAAACCACAGGCACGGAGAACAGGCAACCAGCUUAACUUUGAUUCUCUUAGUGUUUUGUGGGACCUGCUGGGGUCUAGAAUAGCUAGAGUCAUAGGCCGUCUACCUGCGGCUUCAAGCACACAUAUCCAACUCCACCUUAUCUACACAAAUGUUCUCAUUAUCUGUGUUCCUUGACAGAAUGGUUUGACAAUUCUUCCUUAUUAAACCUGGCCCCCACGUCGUCAGCUCUCCGGAUGCUCUUCCCUGGUUGUCAGGCUGCUGCUUGGGUUCCCAGUGGAGCACUCUGCAGGGUUCUGUAUGGCCUGUUGUGAUCUGCGGGGUCCUGCAGUGCUGAAUGCUACACCGUGCCACUUCCAGCUCAACCAGAGAAGCUGGGCAGGACUUUGGUGGUGGUGUCUGAAGGUUUGAGAUAAGGCCCAGGUUGCUACGGGCUUUCCUUGAGAGAGGGUGGCAACUACUUCUGUGUUUGUUUUUAUAGUAAAUAUUCAGCUGACUCUAAGGAGGGGACAAUGGUGGUCCAAAGAUUUUUCUGCACAUGUUAAAACAUUUCAUGGUGUUCGUGACAAGCCUCGCCUGCUUACAAAGCUUAUGGAGACCUUGAGUCACCUUCAGUUGAGGCACGCACUUUGGACAAGUUUCAGAUACUUAUUUUGGCACCAAGGAAUACAAAUCUGAGCAAAUAUAUCUUUGGCUGAGAACAAAGUUCUCCUCAAAGAACUGGAAAAAGAGCCCCUAACCUUUCAUUUCAACUGUUUAUGGCUCAUAUUCAAAGGUAGCUUUUUUUAAAAAAAUAAAAAGCACUCCAAUCCCAAGUGGUUUAAGCCAAAAAGUGCCUUAGGGUUCUCUCAGAUGAACUUCAACUUCAGAUAUCACCAAUAGGUAGCUUUGGCAAAAAUACUCAUCUUCUUUUGAAGUCUAGCUUGCUUUCAUAGGAAACAGAAAAGGGAAGGAAGAGAGAAGGACCUGAAUGAGUAGAAAACAUCUUACACAUGCAGGGAUCAUGUUGUAAGAGUCAGGGUCAGCUUAUGACUCUGAUAGAAAGCAGCUGAAGGUGACAGAUUUUCCAGCUGUCCUUUGAGAAGGUGCAGGAGGAUGGCAACUUGGAAUUGGCUAUAAAGAGUGAAUCAGAAAGUGGAGACGACCUGGACUAUAAGGUAAAAGCUGCUUUGUAGAAACUGAUUUGCACAACAAAGUGAAAUGCAAGGAGAAUGUUGGAAUAUAUGCAAGCUAUCUGGAGAAAAUAAAGCACUCAACAUUUCAAAUAAAUUCUCCAAAAUGGGCUAGCAUCUCUGUGGUUAGAAAAUUCUGUCAGAAAAGGACAACGUAAAACUUAAGUAGAAACUUAAAAUAUGGCCUGAAUUAUACAACAACUAUAUCUAACAAAACACAGAAAAUGACCUUCAAUAGUUAAGGAGGCGAUUAACCACUUGGGGAUAGGAAAGAGCUUUCCAAAGUGUGUAAAAUAAUCAGUCACACCUCUCAGAAGAUGCAAGGGAAGCAUUAGGAAGGGAGCACUUUCUUUUAUUAAAGCCAGAUUAGCUAAGAGAAAAGUUUCAAGUAUUUGGCCUGUCGACUGCACUGAGAGAAAGCUCAGUGACACAGGAAAAGCAAGUAUUCUCAACAGACAUGAAUAAGCUGGAGCAGUUUAAAUAUGAGAUUUUGUCAAAAGAUUCUUACACCUCUUUACUGUUCCCUGUACAGACCUCAGCAGAAGGCUAGGGGAGCUGGGGAGGGCUGGAUUAUCAGAUACAACGAAGGAGGAGGGAUGACAAGGCUGAAAAGCUGAGCUGACUAGAUUAGGUUCCUUUCUUCACUGCCCAAACUUAGAACAAUAUCACCAUUCAUGAGAAGAAUUUGUAGACAUGCUAUUUUAUGCCUUUUAAACAAGUUUGAUGUUGGGGUGGGGGCAGGGUAAAGUAACAUUUUAAAAGCAUGGCACUUUUUCUGUGUUUGCUAAGAUAAACACUUUGUCUGUGUUUAUCUAAGCAUUUUUUUGUAGCCUCUCCCUAACCAGGUUCCAAGAAACUGAAGCUGUCAGGUAGCUUGUGGAGGACGAACACAACUACUGCCCAAGCAAUCCACAACAUGUCCAGAUUCUCAAGAAUACAGAAUUAAUCACUUCCAGAUGACUACUUGGAGUUUUCUCUUUCUUUGGGUUGUGAGCGCCAAGAAACAGAGACCAGUGCCCGGUACAGAAGAGUUCUUGAGAACUAUUUGAUGAAUGAACAUUUGAAUGGAUGAAUUGUGUACUUGUCAGGAUUCUUUUGAUUGACAACUGAAAUCCAUUAAACAAAUACAAAACCAA
rnacentral:lncRNA from 10 species